ACUGUCAGGCUAGAGUGCAGGAGAGGAAGGUAGAAUUCCCGGUGUAGCGGUGAAAUGCGUAGAGAUCGGGAGGAAUACCAGUGGCGAAGGCGGCCUUCUGGACUGACACUGACGCUGAGGUGCGAAAGCGUGGGUAGCAAACAGGAUUAGAUACCCUGGUAGUCCACGCCGUAAACGAUGUCGACUAGCCGUUGGGGUCCUUGAGACCUUUGUGGCGCAGUUAACGCGAUAAGUCGACCGCCUGGGGAGUACGGCCGCAAGGUUAAAACUCAAAUGAAUUGACGGGGGCCCGCACAAGCGGUGGAGCAUGUGGUUUAAUUCGAUGCAACGCGAAGAACCUUACCUACCCUUGACAUCGUGCGAACUUUCCAGAGAUGGAUGGGUGCCUUCGGGAGCGCACAGACAGGUGCUGCAUGGCUGUCGUCAGCUCGUGUUGUGAAAUGUUGGGUUAAGUCCCGUAACGAGCGCAACCCUUGUCCCUAUUUGCCAGCGAUUCGGUCGGGAACUCUAGGGAGACUGCCGGUGACAAACCGGAGGAAGGUGGGGACGACGUCAAGUCAUCAUGGCCCUUACGGGUAGGGCUACACACGUGCUACAAUGGCCGGUACAAAGGGUUGCAAAGCCGCGAGGUGGAGCUAAUCCCAUAAAGCCGGUCUCAGUCCGGAUCGGAGUCUGCAACUCGACUCCGUGAAGUCGGAAUCGCUAGUAAUCGUGAAUCAGAAUGUCACGGUGAAUACGUUCCCGGGCCUUGUACACACCGCCCGUCACACCAUGGGAG
rnacentral:rRNA from 1 species